rnacentral:rRNA from 1 species
UGGGGAAUAUUGCACAAUGGGCGAAAGCCUGAUGCAGCGACGCCGCGUGAGUGAAGAAGUAUUUCGGUAUGUAAAGCUCUAUCAGCAGGGAAGAAAAUGACGGUACCUGACUAAGAAGCCCCGGCUAACUACGUGCCAGCAGCCGCGGUAAUACGUAGGGGGCAAGCGUUAUCCGGAUUUACUGGGUGUAAAGGGAGCGUAGACGGCGAAGCAAGUCUGAAGUGAAAACCCAGGGCUCAACCCUGGGACUGCUUUGGAAACUGUUUUGCUAGAGUACAGUAGGGGUGAGCGGAAUUCCUAGUGUAGCGGUGAAAUGCGCAGAUAUUAGGAAGAACACCGGCGCGAAGGCGGCUCACUGGACUGUAACUGACGUUGAGGCUCGAAAGCGUGGGUAGCAAACAGGAUUAGAUACCCUGGUA